GACGAACGCUGGCGGCGUGCUUAACACAUGCAAGUCGAACGGAAAGGCCCCCACCUUGGUGGGGGUGCUCGAGUGGCGAACGGGUGAGUAACACGUGGGUGAUCUGCCCUGUACUUCGGGAUAAGCUUGGGAAACUGGGUCUAAUACCGGAUAGGACCAUGGUUUAGUGUCUCAUGGUGGAAAAAUUAUUGUUUUGGUGCAGGAUGAGCUCGCGGCCUAUCAGCUUGUUGAUGGGGUAAUGGCCUACCAAGGCGUCGACGGGUAGCCGGCCUGAGAGGGUGGACGGCCACAUUGGGACUGAGAUACGGCCCAGACUCCUACGGGAGGCAGCAGUGGGGAAUAUUGCACAAUGGGCGCAAGGCUGAUGCAGCGACGCCGCGUGGGGGAUGACGGCCUUCGGGUUGUAAACUCCUUUCGUUAGGGACGAAGCCACACCUUUUUUGGGUGUGGUGACGGUACCUUUGUUAAGAAGCACCGGCUAACUACGUG
rnacentral:rRNA from 1 species